AUAGUACUCCCUCCGUUCUGAAUUACUUGUCUUUGAUUUGUCUAGAUACGGAUGUAUCUAGACUCAUUUUAGUGCUAGAUACCUUCGUAUCUAGACAAAUCUAAGACAAGUAAUUUGGAACGGAGGGAGUACUAU
rnacentral:pre_miRNA from 1 species